UACGUAGGGUGCAAGCGUUAAUCGGAAUUACUGGGGGUAAAGCGUGCGCAGGCGGUUGUGUAAGACAGAUGUGAAAUCCCCGGGCUCAACCUGGGAACUGCAUUUGUGACUGCACGGCUGGAGUACGGUAGAGGGGGAUGGAAUUCCGCGUGUAGCAGUGAAAUGCGUAGAUAUGCGGAGGAACACCGAUGGCGAAGGCAAUCCCCUGGACCUGUACUGACGCUCAUGCACGAAAGCGUGGGGAGCAAACAGG
rnacentral:rRNA from 1 species